rnacentral:rRNA from 1 species
GACGUAGGAUGCAAGCGUUGUCCGGAUUUAUUGGGCGUAAAGAGUUCGUAGGUGGUUUGUUAAGUCUGAUGUUAAAGACCGGGGCUCAACCUCGGAAGUGCAUUGGAUACUGGCAGACUCGAGUAUGGUAGAGGCGAGUGGAAUUCCCAGUGUAGCGGUGAAAUGCGUAGAUAUUGGGAAGAACACCGGUGGCGCAAGCGACUCGCUGGGCCAUUACUGACACUGAGGAACGAAAGCUAGGGGAGCAAACAGG